rnacentral:rRNA from 1 species
UGCCUAACAGCUAGCCCACCCAAACAAUUUCAACAAACCCCUGUUAAUAACCCCUAAGUACCCCAGUAUUUAUUUUAAACAAACCAUUUUUCCCCCCUAGUAUAGGCGAUAGAAAAGGGCCUACGGCGCAAUAGAGAAAGUACCGCAAGGGAACGCUGAAAGAGAAGUGAAACAACCCAGUAAAGCCUAAAAAAGCAGAGAUCUAAACUCGUACCUUUUGCAUCAUGAUUUAGCAAGUGUAACCCAAGCAAAGCGUACUUUAGUUUGACGUCCCGAAACUAGGUGAGCUACUCCAAGACAGCCUAUCAAUAGGGCGUACCCGUCUCUGUGGCAAAAGAGUGGGGAGAGCUUUGAGUAGAGGUGACAAACCUACCGAACCUAGUUAUAGCUGGUUGUCCAAGAAAUGAAUAGAAGUUCAGCCUUUCAGCUUCUCUUUUCACCUUAGCCUGACCCCUAUUGAUGUAUUAAAGAAACCGAAAGAGUUAGUCAAAGGGGGUACAGCUCCUUUGAAUCAAGACACAACUUUCCCAGGAGGGUAAAGAUCAUAAUAAUUAAAGCUAAAUGUUCUGGUGGGCCUAAAAGCAGCCAUCCCCUUAGAAAGCGUUAAAGCUCAGACAUGUAACCAUACUUCUUAUCCUGAUCACCCAAUCUUAUCCCCCUAACCGUACUGGACCAUCCCAUGCCAACAUGGGAGUGACUAUGCUGAAAUGAGUAAUAAGAGAGCUAUCGGCUCUCUCCCUGCACACAUGUACAUCGGAACGGACAACCCACCGAACCUUAACGGCCCCAAAUAAAGAGGGCAGUGGAUAUUAGACCAAAAAACUAGAAAACUAUCCAAAAACCAACCGUUAAACCCACACAGGUGUGCCCCCAGGGAAAGACUAAAAGAA